rnacentral:rRNA from 1 species
AUUGAACGCUGGCGGCAGGCCUAACACAUGCAAGUCGAACGGUAACAGGAAACAGCUUGCUGUUUCGCUGACGAGUGGCGGACGGGUGAGUAAUGUCUGGGAAACUGCCUGAUGGAGGGGGAUAACUACUGGAAACGGUAGCUAAUACCGCAUAACGUCGCAAGACCAAAGAGGGGGACCUUCGGGCCUCUUGCCAUCGGAUGUGCCCAGAUGGGAUUAGCUAGUAGGUGGGGUAACGGCUCACCUAGGCGACGAUCCCUAGCUGGUCUGAGAGGAUGACCAGCCACACUGGAACUGAGACACGGUCCAGACUCCUACGGGAGGCAGCAGUGGAGAAUAUUGCACAAUGGGCGCAAGCCUGAUGCAGCCAUGCCGCGUGUAUGAAGAAGGCCUUCGGGUUGUAAAGUACUUUCAGCGGGGAGGAAGGGAGUAAAGUUAAUACCUUUACUCAUUGACGUUACCCGCAGAAGAAGCACCGGCUAACUCCGUG